CAACGUGGGCAACCUGCCCUAGAGUGGGGGACAACAGUCCGAAAGGGCUGCUAAUACCGCAUGUGAAUAAUGAACGGCAUCGUUUAUUAUUCAAAGCAGCAAUGCGCUCUAGGAUGGGCCCGCGGCCUAUCAGCUAGUUGGCGGGGUAACGGCCCACCAAGGCUUCGACGGGUAGCUGGUCUGAGAGGACGAUCAGCCGGAUUGGGACUGAGAUACGGCCCAG
rnacentral:rRNA from 1 species